rnacentral:rRNA from 1 species
CAGGGAAUCUUGCGCAAUGGGCGAAAGCCUGACGCAGCAACGCCGCGUGGGGGAUGAAGGCCUUCGGGUUGUAAACCCCUUUCAGGAGGGAAGAAAUUGACGGUACCUCCAAAAGAAGCACCGGCCAACUACGUGCCGGCAGCCGCGGUAAUACGUAGGGUGCGAGCGUUAUCCGGAAUCAUUGGGCGUAAAGAGCUCGUAGGCGGUUCAGCAAGUCGGCUGUGAAAGUCUGAGGCUCAACCUCAGAAUUGCAGUCGAUACUGCUGUGACUCGAGUCCGGUAGAGGAGAACGGAAUUCCCGGUGUAGCGGUGAAAUGCGCAGAUAUCGGGAGGAACACCAGUAGCGAAGGCGGUUCUCUGGGCCGGCACUGACGCUGAGGAGCGAAAGCGUGGGGAGCGAAACAGGAUUAGAUACCCUGGUAGUCCACGCCGUAAACGUUGGAUACUAGGUGUGGCGGUCUUACCAACGACUGCCGUGCCGAAGCUAACGCAUUAAGUAU